CAGCAGCCGCGGUAACACGUAGGUGGCAAGCGUUGUCCGGAAUUAUUGGGCGUAAAGGGCUCGCAGGCGGUUUCUUAAGUCUGAUGUGAAAGCCCCCGGCUCAACCGGGGAGGGUUAUUGGAAACUGGGAAACUUGAGUGCAGAAGAGGAGAGUGGAAUUCCACGUGUAGCGGUGAAAUGCGUAGAGAUGUGGAGGAACACCAGUGGCGAAGGCGACUCUCUGGUCUGUAACUGACGCUGAGGAGCGAAAGCGUGGGGAGCGAACAGGAUUAGAGACCCCCGUAGUCCCUGUCUCUUAUAC
rnacentral:rRNA from 1 species